rnacentral:rRNA from 1 species
AGAGUUUGAUCAUGGCUCAGAUUGAACGCUGGCGGCGUGCUUAACACAUGCAAGUCGAUCGGUAACGCGGGGGCAACCCUGGCGACGAGAGGCGGACGGGUGAGGAACGCUUGGGAAUCUGCCCUUCAGCGGGGGACAACCCGGGGAAACUCGGGCUAAUACCGCAUACGCUCCAAGGAGGAAAGCCGGGGACCGCAGGGCCUGGCACUGAAGGAUGAGCCCAAGCCGGAUUAGCUAGUUGGCGGGGUAACGGCCCACCAAGGCGACGAUCCGUAGCUGGUCUGAGAGGACGAUCAGCCACACCGGAACUGAGACACGGUCCGGACUCCUACGGGAGGCAGCAGUGGGGAAUAUUGGACAAUGGGGGAAACCCUGAUCCAGCGACGCCGCGUGGGUGAAGAAGGCCUGCGGGUUGUAAAGCCCUUUCGGUAGGGACGAAAGCUCUUGCCCUGACACGGCAGGAGGUUGACUUAACCUACAUAAGAAGCACCGGCUAACUCUGUGCCAGCAGCCGCGGUAAUACAGAGGGUGCGAGCGUUAAUCGGAAUUACUGGGCGUAAAGCGCACGUAGUCGGCUUUGCAAGUCGGGUGUGAAAUCCCCGGGCUCAACCUGGGAACUGCAUCCGAGACUGCAUUGCUAGAGUAUGGGAGAGGGAAGCGGAAUUUCUGGUGUAGCAGUGAAAUGCGUAGAUAUCAGAAGGAACAUCAGUGGCGAAGGCGGCUUCCUGGACCAAUACUGACGAUCAGGUGCGAAAGCGUGGGGAGCAAACAGGAUUAGAUACCCUGGUAGUCCACGCCCU